rnacentral:rRNA from 1 species
AAUUGGCGGCUUUUAAAAUAUUUUAGAGAGAUUUAUUCUUUAAAGGAUAUAACCCCAAAAUCUUACCUAAGUAAGUAAUUUUUCAGUUUGUAUACCUCUAUUUAGAAAUUUAAAAAUAAAUUUUAAUUUAAUUAAUUAAAAAAAAAUAUUUUAGGGAAAAGUGCAGCUUAUGCUUUGGUUUGAAAUAAAUUUUAUUAGUUUUUACUAAACAAAAUUAAUUUGGUAAAUCCUGAUUAAGAAAAAUUUAAAAGUAAAAUUGACAUAG